rnacentral:rRNA from 1 species
UACGAAGGGGGCUAGCGUUGCUCGGAAUUACUGGGCGUAAAGGGCGCGUAGGCGGCACUGUUAGUCAGGCGUGAAAUUCCUGGGCUCAACCUGGGGACUGCGCUUGAUACGGCAGAGCUAGAGGACGGAAGAGGCUCGCGGAAUUCCCAGUGUAGAGGUGAAAUUCGUAGAUAUUGGGAAGAACACCGGUGGCGAAGGCGGCGAGCUGGUCCGUUACUGACGCUGAGGCGCGACAGCGUGGGGAGCAAACAGG